CCCGGCAAAUCUUUUAAAAAUUCUAGUAGUGCUGUAGUCCCAGCUACUCGGGUGGGAGUAUCGCUGAGGUUGGAGGAUCGCUUGAGCCUAGGAGUUCUGGGCUAUGUUGAUCGGGUGUCCGCACUAAGUUUGGCAUCAAUACGGUGACCUCCCGGGAGUGGGGUACCACCAGGUUGCCUAAGGAGGGGUGAACCGGCCCAGGUCGGAAACGGAGCAGGUCAAAACUCCCGUGCCAAUCAGUAAUGGGAUUGCGCCUGUGAAUAGCUGCUGCACUCCAGCCUGGGCUACAUAGCAGGACCACGUCCCCC
ensembl:misc_RNA Metazoa_SRP Metazoan signal recognition particle RNA